ACUCUUCGAGCUUACCUUUGCCAAAGUCAUUGAGUGGUAAGUUUUCUUCUCUUAUAUAUAUUCGCAUUGUUCCGCUCUUCAAAUAUUUUGUUUAGUUCUGUUUGUAUUAGUGUAACUGUUUUUGGAAUGGAAAUUAGGGAAUUGCAUUGCCUGCGGUGGCAAAUUAGUUUGAAUAACAUUGUUUUGUAACUUCUUUGUCGCUAUUUCUGGUAUUAUCCAAAGCUGACCAACACACGAAGAACUGUCCUUUGAGAGAAUUAAGUCAUCUUGCCUUUUGUUCCAUCCUAAAUAUAUUUCGAAGUUUAUCGUGCUGAAUAAUAUCUUCCCUUAAUGGGGAGCACAUGUUUUAUUGUGACAUUAUAGUUUGGUGCAAUUUUGGUGCACUUUUUAAUGGAAUAAAGUACAGGAAAAAAAUCAAUUAUCAUGGAAGUUUAAUUUUAUUUAGUUUCUGGGGUAGUCUCUCUAUAUGAUGAAAAGCCUUGUUAAGUUGUCAUUGUUAUUUUAACAGUCCGCUUUUGCUGAUUUAUUUUGCUGUAGCCAGAAUUUGUUAAGCUUGUGAAUGUAAUGGCAGGAUACCAAUCUGGCCAUAUGCGAGGCUCAUUUUGACCUGCUGGUUGGUCAUUCCAUACUUCAGUGGUGCUGCAUAUGUUUAUGAGAAUUUUGUGAGACCUUUCUUUGCCAACCCACAGCAAACCCUUAAUAUAUGGUAUGUCCCAAGAAAGAAGGAUGUCUUCAGCAAACCAGAUGACGUUCUAACUGCUGCUGAGAAAUACAUCGAAGAGAAUGGAACUUCUGCUUUUGAGAAGCUCAUUACCAAGGUAGUUGAUGAGCCAUUAACAAUUGUUUUAAACUAAUUUUGGGACCAAUAUUUUUCUAGGAGUGAGUCUACUGAUAAAAUGCCAACACUAUGUUUGAUUGGAAAGGACCGAUGGAUGAGUGGAGAGGGAUGAAAGAGGCACUUGCCGCAUCAUUCCCUCCUUGCCUGAUGGAUAAGCAGAGAGGGGUGAGAGACUAAUGCUAAAUAUUAAGAAAAAUAACAAGAAAAAACUUGAAGCAUACCUAUGAGCCAUUGGAUUGGUGGGACCACCCAUUGGAUCCCAUAACAAGAUCAUCCUCCGGUGGUGAAAUUUUUUUGUCAUGUUUUCUUUAUGUUUUAACAUUUUUGUCACCAAAGAUUUUUUGGGAGUUCCCUUAAUUGAUUGUGACUGUGAUAGAUUAAAUGUCUUAUCAAUAUUAUAUAGCAGUAGCAUUAAAUAUCUCCAGCACAUUGCAACUAAUAAGAUAAUUGCUCCAUGCAGGGUAAAUCCAAGAGGCGUAGCUUAUUCGAUGAUGAGGAUGACCGAUACUGAUAGCUGUUAGCUGGUCCUGCUACCUUGUUCCUUGUCGGGGAAGACUAGUUCCUUUCAGUUAUUUCCAGUUGCUACUUACUAG
rnacentral:lncRNA from 1 species